CCUACGGGAGGCAGCAGUGGGGAAUAUUGCGCAAUGGGCGAAAGCCUGACGCAGCGACGCCGCGUGAGGGAUGAAGGUCUUCGGAUCGUAAACCUCUGUCAGCAGGGAAGAAUGGUCACUGUGCUAAUCAGCAGUGAAUUGACGGUACCUGCAAAGGAAGCACCGGCUAACUCCGUGCCAGCAGCCGCGGUAAUACGGAGGGUGCGAGCGUUAAUCGGAAUUACUGGGCGUAAAGCGCUCGUAGGCGGUAUGUCAAGUCAAGGGUGAAAUCCCCGCGCUCAACGUGGGAACUGCCUUUGAAACUGGCAAACUGGAGUGUGUGAGAGGAUAGUGGAAUUCCAGGUGUAGGAGUGAAAGCCGUAGAUAUCUGGAGGAACAUCAGUGGCGAAGGCGACUAUCUGGCACAUAACUGACGCUGAGGAGCGAAAGCGUGGGUAGCAAACAGGAUUAGAUACCCCAGUAGUC
rnacentral:rRNA from 1 species